rnacentral:rRNA from 1 species
CAGUCGCCGCGGGAAUACAGAGGCCUCAAGCGUUGUUCGGAUUCAUUGGGCGUAAAGGGUGCGUAGGUGGCUUGGUAAGUUGAAGGUGAAAUCUCGGGGCUUAACCCCGAAACUGCCUUCAAUACUGCUAGGCUCGAGGACUGUAGAGGAGAAUGGAAUUCACGGUGUAGCAGUGAAAUGCGUAGAUAUCGUGAGGAAGACCAGUGGCGAAGGCGAUUCUCUGGGCAGUUCCUGACACUGAGGCACGAAGGCCAGGGGAGCAAACGGGAUUAGAUACCCCCGUGUCCCUGUCUCUUAUACA